UUUGUUAGAGCAGCCGGGAAGCUUGGAUGCCUGCGCUUGAUUGCGCGGCUGACGAUGCUUUCUGUUAACGACUGUCUCUUCUACACACACACUGUGGAGUAAUUUAUUUACAACGCUUCUUCUUUGGGCUUCGGCCCAAGGGUUACAAACACAAACAACUUUUGUAUUUUAAACAUUGUCAAUUAUUUUUCAUUUUAGAAAAAAAUAUUUAAAACUUUCAACAACGGAUCUCUUGGUUCUCGCAUCGAUGAAGAACGCAGCGAAAUGCGAUAAGUAUUGUGAAUUGCAGAUAUUCGUGAAUCAUCGAAUCUUUGAACGCACAUUGCGCCCUUUGGUAUUCCAGGGGGCAUGCCUGUUUGAGCGUCAUUUCCUUCUCAAACCUUAGGGUUUGGUAGUGAGUGGUACUCUUUCUGGGUUAACUUGAAAAUGCUGGCCAUCUGGCUGUUGCUGACUGAGACUUUAGUCCAGUCUGCUGAUACUCUGCGUAUUAGGUUUUACCAACUCGUAGUGGCGUUAGUAGGCGUUACAAAGACUUUUGUCAAAAGUACGGACAGCCUGGCAAACAGUAUUCACAAAGUUUGACCUCAAAUCAGGUAGGAUUACCCGCUGAACUUAAGCAUAUCAAUAAGCGGAGGA
rnacentral:rRNA from 3 species